rnacentral:rRNA from 1 species
GAUGAACGCUGGCGGCGUGCCUAAUACAUGCAAGUCGAGCGAACGGACGAGAAGCUUGCUUCUCUGAUGUUAGCGGCGGACGGGUGAGUAACACGUGGAUAACCUACCUAUAAGACUGGGAUAACUUCGGGAAACCGGAGCUAAUCCCGGAUAAUAUUUUGAACCGCAUGGUUCAAAAGUAAAAGACGGUCUUGCUGUCACUUAUAGAUGGAUCCGCGCUGCAUUAGCUAGUUGGUAAGGUAACGGCUUACCAAGGCAACGAUGCAUAGCCGACCUGAGAGGGUGAUCGGCCACACUGGAACUGAGACACGGUCCAGACUCCUACGGGAGGCAGCAGUAGGGAAUCUUCCGCAAUGGGCGAAAGCCUGACGGAGCAACGCCGCGUGAGUGAUGAAGGUCUUCGGAUCGUAAAACUCUGUUAUUAGGGAAGAACAUAUGUGUAAGUAACUGUGCACAUCUUGACGGUACCUAAUCAGAAAGCCACGGCUAACUACGUG